GAGCAAAAGGACGAAAGGGGUGAAAGAGGAGGGGAAGCUGGUGAAGAGAAAGAGAAAGAGACAGACAGAGGGACUACGCGAGAGACGUAAAGCCAGAGAGAGGAAAAGGGCGAGAGGUGGGACGAACUAGGGAAAUGCGUUAUCGUCUGCAGCCAGCUGACAAAUCGAAGGUAAUAGGGCCGAGCGGAAUUCUGCGUAGCAGAACGACCAAGAGCACUGCAUCUAGUAGGUACGUGGCUACAUACGUACAUAUGUACCAGGAUCACGUACGUGAUGUGCGCAUGUCGGAAUAUGUACUCGCACUACUAUGACUACGUGUAUAUAUCGCGCAGAAGCGCCGCGUAUGCGUAUACGUACACGUAAGCCUUGCGCCAGCGUGGCUGACUAUUCCUAGCCAAUACUACUGAAACAUGCUUGCAUUCAUAGAGUGCGCCGUGGACCAGCGGGAACAUUUAACGCUCAUUGUCUUCGGUUGACGGACUUCGGAAGCAUCUGCUCUUUGGUAAACUCGCGUUUCUAUGAGUUUCAAAUAGCGCGCCAAGGGGUUUCAAUUUCUAGAAAGUUCGACACCAGUGAAUCGCUUCUCUAUUGAAAAUUCGGUAUCUGUCAGUUUGCGUUGGCAUCGAUUUGUACUUUGAGUAAUAGCAGUCGUCUGUACAGUAUUUUAUUUUUCUGAUUUUCCUAGAUGUAUUAGCGUUGUUCGUUGCAGGAAAGUUUUAUAUUCGUUGUUUUUCCCGUUUUAUGCGUAUAAGGUUGAGUAUAAUGAACGUUUUGGUGGAUGUAUUUAUUUGCAUAUACAUAUAUGUGGAAAGACUAAGCUUCCAAACGUUUGUUAAUGGAAUAUUCGUUCGUAGACAUUUAAAGUAAUCGAUCACCGUAAGCCGGACACACAAGAAGAUGAAUUUUGAAUUCUUAAGUAGAUUUUCUUUAGAAUGUAAACUGAAAUUUAUACAAAAAUUAUCUAUCUCGCCGUCUCGAAACGAACCUAUUAACAAUACAUUUGUGUACUUGUGCAUUUUUAUAGUAUAUUGCAAUUUCUAACCUUACAAAGAAUUUGCACGUAUCUUUAAUACGUUGCGAGAUCUUGUGUAACACAAAUUAUGUAAGUUAGAUUAAAGCAAUGUUUGAUUUCGUACUCGCUGAAAGAAAAUAACCAACCGACCGAGUACAAAAGGUAACAAUAAUCAAGAUUCCUGGUGAUACGAAUGCAUAGGUGAAUCGGUGGUUGAAGCAAUUGGCUACUUUAACCUCUGCUCAACAGCAACUGGGAAAUGUAAGAUACACGGCGCGACUAGUUCCACCUCUGGCCGCAAUCCCGACAGGGUAUUGCAGCAUAGAGUAGCGAAUAACUGUAGCUCGUACAAGCGCGACGACGCGGCAUCGUGCCAGGAGUUGGUACUCUGGCACGACCCACGACCCCCGCAUUUUCCAACCCAGGUUCUGGCAUAGGCCGCGGCACUAGGCCGACGCAAGCCAUCGCCAAUGAGUGCAUGUCUGGGGCGGAGCAUGGUCGACACCGAGCAGACGCGAUUUCGACCUGCUUUAUACCUUCCACUAUGCACCCCGUUCCAAAAAGAAAGCCUUUCAGAAAUUAAUUAUUACUUGCCACUUUUACCUUCUUUUCUAACACUUUCUCCCGUAUAGACGUUUUGUUUGCACAAGCCGUGUAUACCUGUUGUUCCUCGAACGUCCAACGAGAUUUUAUUCGCAAUUGUAAACGGCACGAUAACGCAAUUGACAACAUCCAAAAAGGGAAGGAACCACCACCGAGCGUGAAAGUGCAUUCGUUCUGGUGUCGUCAUCGGCGUCGGCAGGCACAGACGUGACCUACUUGCGCUAUUGACCUGUUGGUGAUGCUGGUGGGCGAAGUGUUGAAAGGGGGAGACGUGGAUAAGAGGGAGAAGUCCGUCCAGGUGAAGGAAAUGGUGGAGGAUACCAGGUCGGGAGGACGGGUGGCGAAGGGGCGAGGGGACAGGGGCUGAAUGCACUUGACGCAUCAGAACACGGAGAGAACGAGCGACUGCCGCAUGCGGUCCCAGCGCGCGCAGCCUACUACUACUUAUCCUAUCCAUUCACUACACACAUACACACACAUACACGUGUAUUUCGUGUCUCUAGAAACAUGUGGGAUCUUUCUUCCUGAAGGACUGACCAAACUGCCAUUCGCUACGAUCGUCGUUCUUUUUAUUAUAAUUUCUCUUUCGAGCAUC